rnacentral:rRNA from 1 species
CCUACGGGUGGCAGUAGUGAGGAAUAUUGGUCAAUGGACGAGAGUCUGAACCAGCCAAGUAGCGUGAAGGAUGACUGCCCUAUGGGUUGUAAACUUCUUUUAUAUGGGAAUAAAACGUUCCACGUGUGGGAUUUUGUAUGUACCAUAUGAAUAAGGAUCGGCUAACUCCGUGCCAGCAGCCGCGGUAAUACGGAGGAUCCGAGCGUUAUCCGGAUUUAUUGGGUUUAAAGGGAGCGUAGGUGGAUUGUUAAGUCAGUUGUGAAAGUUUGCGGCUCAACCGUAAAAUUGUAGUUGAAACUGGCAGUCUUGAGUACAGUAGAGGUGGGCGGAAUUCGUGGUGUAGCGGUGAAAUGCUUAGAUAUCACGAAGAACUCCGAUUGCGAAGGCAGUUCACUGGACUGCAACUGACACUGAGGCUCGAAAGUGUGGGUAUCAAACAGGAUUAGAUACCCCUGUAGUC